CCCAGCAGCCACAUCACUCUGCAGCACCCAGCUGACAGCCCUCUGGAGCUCAGCAGGUGUGAGCCUGGUCAGUACCUGGAUGGGAGACUCCUGGGAAAGCUGAGGCUGCUGCUGGAG
rnacentral:rRNA from 1 species